rnacentral:rRNA from 1 species
GUCGAACGAGAACGGUACUAGCUUGCUAGUAUGUCAGCUAAGUGGCGGACGGGUGAGUAAUGUAUAGUUAAUCUGCCCCUUGGAGAGGGAUAACAGUUGGAAACGACUGCUAAUACCUCAUAUUCCUUAUGCUGUAAGAGUAUAAGGGAAAUGGUUUAUUCUGCCAAGGGAUGAGACUAUAUGGUAUCAGGUAGUUGGUGGGGUAAGAGCCUACCAAGCCAAUGACACCUAGCUGGUCUGAGAGGAUGAUCAGCCACACUGGAACUGAGACACGGUCCAGACUCCUACGGGAGGCAGCAGUGGGGAAUAUUGCACAAUGGAGGAAACUCUGAUGCAGCAACGCCGCGUGGAGGAUGACACAUUUCGGUGCGUAAACUCCUUUUAUAUGGGAAGAUAAUGACGGUACC